CUGGUGUCAGCCGCCGCGGUAAUACCAGCACCCCGAGUGGUCGGGACGAUUAUUGGGCCUAAAGCAUCCGUAGCCGGUUUUACAAGUCUUCCGUUAAAUCCAGCCGCUCAACGGAUGGGCCGCGGAGGAUACUGUAGAACUAGGAGGCGGGAGAGGCAAGCGGUACUUAGUGGGUAGGGGUAAAAUCCUCUGAUCCUUUGAAGACCACCAGUGGCGAAGGGGGUUUGCCAAAACGCGCUCGACGGAGAGGGAUGAAAGCUGGGGGAGCAAACCGAAUUAAAUACCCGGGUAGUCCCAGCUGUAAACGAUGCAAACUCGGUGAUGGGCUAGCCUUCUGCCAUCCCAGUGCCGGAGGGAAGCCGUUAAGUCUGCCGCCUGGGGAGUACGGUCGCAAGACUGAAACUUAAAG
rnacentral:rRNA from 2 species